GACGAACGCUGGCGGCGUGCUUAACACAUGCAAGUCGAACGAAGUGGCGAACGGGUGAGUAAUACGUGAGUAACCUGCCCUCCUUUUUGGGAUAAGCCUUGGAAACGGGGUCUAAUACCGGAAAAAGGGGGAGGGGCUCGCGGCCUGUCAGCGUGUUGGGGGGGUGAUGGCCUACCAAGGCGGUGACGGGUAGCCGGCCUGAGAGGGUGAACGGCCACAUUGGGACUGAGCUACCGCCCAGGCUCGUACGGGGUGGAGAAGUGGGGGAUAUUGCCCAAUGGGCGAAAGCCUGAUGCCGCGAGGCCGAGUGGGGGAUGAGGGUUUUAGGGUUGUAUACCUCGGGAGCUAGGGAUUGGGUAGGUGGAGAAGAAGCGCCGGCUAACUACGUGCCAGCAGCCGCGGUAAUAC
rnacentral:rRNA from 1 species